rnacentral:rRNA from 1 species
UGAGUAGGCGGUAAUAUGUGUCAGAUGUAAAAGGCUAUGGCUUAACCAUAGUUGGCAUUUGAAACUGUAUUACUUGAGUGCAGGAGAGGUAAGUGGAAUUCCUAGUGUAGCGGUGAAAUGCGUAGAUAUUAGGAGGAACACCAGUGGCGAAGGCGACUUACUGGACUGUAGCUGACGCUGAGUCACGAAAGCGUGGGUAGCAAACA